GGCCACCUGACAGUCCUCUCC
rnacentral:misc_RNA from 1 species